GGUGGAUUAGUUUAGUGGUAAAACAAUGGUCUGUCACGCCAUAGUCAGGAGUUCAAUUCUCCUAUUCACCGCCA
rnacentral:tRNA from 1 species